GACGAACGCUGGCGGCGUGCUUAACACAUGCAAGUCGAACGGAAAGGCCCUGCUUUUGUGGGGUGCUCGAGUGGCGAACGGGUGAGUAACACGUGAGUAACCUGCCCUUGACUUUGGGAUAACUUCAGGAAACUGGGGCUAAUACCGGAUAGGAGCUCCUGCUGCAUGGUGGGGGUUGGAAAGUUUCGGCGGUUGGGGAUGGACUCGCGGCUUAUCAGCUUGUUGGUGGGGUAGUGGCUUACCAAGGCUUUGACGGGUAGCCGGCCUGAGAGGGUGAACGGCCACAUUGGGACUGAGAUACGGCCCAGACUCCUACGGGAGGCAACAGUGGGGAAUAUUGCACAAUGGGCGGAAGCCUAAUGCAGCAACGCCGCGUGCGGGAUGACGGCCUUCGGGUUGUAAACCGCUUUCGCCUGUGACGAAGCGUGAGUGACGGUAAUGGGUAAAGAAGCACCGGCUAACUACGUG
rnacentral:rRNA from 1 species